rnacentral:lncRNA from 1 species
GAAUAUAAGUAAUAAAUAUAAGUAAUGAGAUCAAGGGAAUAUGGUUGAGAUUAGAGAUAAUGUUCUUGUGUAUUCAAUAUUGAGAAAUAGAUCAUUUACAAAAUGACAAGGAUGCCCUUUAUAUAUGACAGAGAAUUCCAACAUAGUACAAAUGUAUUUAUUACAAAGAUAUAGAGUCGGUACAACUAUUUAAUGCCAUGGUGCGGGCCUGGACUAGCAUAAUAGGCUUCGUCAGCUCUGGUCACAUGCUUUGGGAACAUCACAUCGAGCCACCGAAGCUACUGGUUUACACUGCCUCGAGGCUGGUCGUUGUGAGCCCUUGAAGUCAAUCACUGGGAGACCUCGAGACGCCUUGAUGAUCGUAAAAUCGAACCGCCGAUUUUUACUGCAUACAAUACAGUGAAAACAAUAUCAAAGCGGUAAAAGAUGGCAUUUAACACAGUACGCUCAAACAUGUAAUAAAAAUUAGAUAAUAAAAGCCAAGUAUAACAGUUAUUCUAAACUCGAAUUCUUGAACCCUGAACCAGAGAUUCUGGGUUCUUGUCCCCAGCGGAGUCGCUAGAGAUGUCACACCUCUUUUUUACCCGAGGGUGUAUAUAAGGGAGUUUUUCUAAUUAAAGUGACAUUAUUUGAAAUAGGAUUAUUUUAUUUAUUUAGGAUCGUCACUUGGGAUAUUUAUUAUGGUGUCCCAAGUCACCGGUUUAUUUAAAAAUCGCAUAUCAAGGAAAUUUGACUUCACUUAAAAGUCUGCAAAACCAGAAAAAACUAUAUAAGGAAUUCUAUUAACCCGGGAGAAGGUGUUAGGCAUUCCCAGGUUUCGUAGUUCUAGCACGAAUGCUUAACUACUAAUAAUUGACCUAAUUAUAUAAUUAAUUGCAUGUUUUAAACCUAUUAUGCAUUUUUUUAACUUUGUAACCCCUUUUAAUUAUUUUAACCCACUUUUAGGAUUUAUGGGAUUAUUUCUUGAAGAAGUCAUGAUUAUCGUACACUUGCCAUUUUGGAACAUAUUGUAAACCAUGCUACAUUAAAUGCACCCGCGAUUUGCGAUAUUUUUAUUUUAUUAUUAUUCACAAUUAUUAUGGUCGGGUCACAUAAAAUGCACACCCGAAUCGUGCCUAAACCAAAACUACGAUGUUCAAAUUACAUCCUAAGCUAUUAUGAGAUUAUUGUAAAAGUCCAUGGCAGCAUGUAGGGUAUUUUUGCUACUUGGGGUAAUCUAGCCUUAAUUGUUAUAAACUUAGAAUAUGAGAAAAUGAGCCCAAUUGACUAUUUGUAAAACAGGCCCAGUCGCGACUAUGAAUUGACUGGGCCUUUCGUGGUUAUGUUUUUCAACAACGAAAAAUUGCCUAAAAUAUACAUUGUCCAAGUCCAGACUUGGUUCACACAAGAGUAAUAUCAGAAAACUAUUGCAUUAAACUUUUAAAAUUAGCUAUACUACUAUGAUUUCUAACAACCCACAUAAAAUUAGAAUUAUGUUAAUUUCAGACAAAUAAGUUCAUAGUUGGGGGCCAAGCUAUUGGGCUUAGUACCCAGGCCUAGUUUCCUCACAUUGGACAAGGCUUGCACGUACAUAGAACUUGCAUGCUUGCUCGGCCCAAUACACUUAAACUAAAUGAUGAUGGGGAGCUAAGAGCAGAUACAACAAUUACCCAUAAAAUAGAAUUUACAAAGGAAAACAAAUUCGCUAUGCUUUACGUGAUAAUAGCAAUGGGAUAUGAUUUGAGUACCAAUAUCAACACAAUAAUCCCAAAUUAUGCAAACAAUCUCUUAUUAAAUUACAAUCAUCCUUGGGCUUAAAUAUUCCCAUAAUAGAAUUACAGAAUACAUUAUUUAAUACUCCUCUUAAUCUCAUUCUUUCAAACUCAAAACUAUAUGGAUUCACAAAGCUGCUACUCAUAUGAGGCCUUUUACUAUAAUGACUCACCUAAAUCUCAAGCUAACAGUCCAUAUCAUGUUGUGACUAGAUCCUGCGUACUUAUGCCAUAAGAUGAAUUACUUUUGAAAAUAUUAGGCAAAGGUAAGGUGAAUCAAAACACCAAACUAGAAGUAUCAAUAGCAGAAAACAAAUUAAUUUAUCCCUAAACCAGUUCUAAAACUGAGCCGUACAAAAUAGAUUCAACCAGGGCAAGGAGUUAACAUCUAUUAACUACUUAAUAGAAAACAAAAGGUAGUGUAGUAAUUAUAAGCAAACAUUUUUCAAUUCAUAGUAUUACUUUAUUCAAAUAGAAGCCCAAAUAUUCAUUCAUGACACAUAUGAACAGCAUAAAUCACAACUUGAACAAAACUGAUGGUCCACAAGGAUUCAACAAUUUCAUAGUCAUUUAACAAAGCAUAAUACAAGGGAUUUGUGGACUGACCUAGCUGGCUAAUAGAUAAACAAAGAGAAGUGGAAUCCAUCCCAAGUAAAAGAUCCCAGCAGCAACUUUCUGCAGUAGAACCAGAAAUUCAAACAAUCAAUCGAACUUGUAUAUCCAAAAAGGUGAAGCAGAAAAAUAGAGAUGGAGAAAGCUUGAAAUCCUCUCUAUUUUUUGGUUUUUUCUUGUGUUUGAAUUUAAUUUUCAGAGUGCUUUUUUUUAGAAAAUCAGUGAGUAUGGAGAGUCAGGCUUAUUCCUUCUAUAGGCUGCACAAAGAGAGCAUAAAAAAAGAAUAUUCUACCCUAGAAUUCUGAAAUGUCAGAUAGUACAACUUCUUUUAACAGCUGUUUGUCCUUUUUUCUAGCCAAUUUAAGCAUUUUCAUGCUAAAAUGGGCACAGUUGUCCAAUACUAGAACUUUCUCAUAUUUUCCUCAUUUUAAAUUCCC